UAAAUUCAUUAGUUUUUUAUUUUAUGAAUGAAAUCGAAAGUUUCUAUGAAUAUGUGCUGGAAUUUUAUGAUGAAAUAGCAUGAAAUUGAAGUUUUAAUUUGUUUAUGAGAUGAUUGUAUUAGGUAAUUUCAAUAGAAAUUGAUUUGUAGGACUUAAUUGUGAAAAAGUUUGGAAUUAAAGUCUAGUGCUAAAAUUCUGAUUUCCAAAGGUUAUAAAGUAGUUUAAAGUCAUAGAAUAAAUUAUUUAUUGAGAAAAAUCAGCUCAAUUGAGAGG
rnacentral:lncRNA from 1 species